rnacentral:rRNA from 1 species
CGGGUGAGUAACGCGUGGUCAACCUGCCGUUGAGUGGGGGAGUAACUAGCCGAAAGGUUAGCUAAUACCGCAUACGUCUCCGAGGGGCAUCCCUUGGCGAUAAAAGGAGCAAUCCGCUCGAUGACGGGACCGCGUCCCAUUAGCUAGAUGGUGGGGUAACGGCCUACCAUGGCACCGAUGGGUAGCUGGUUUGAGAGAGCGACCAGCCACACUGGGACUGAGAAACGGCCCAG